AAUAAUAUAUAGCAUAUAGUAUUAUCACGUACCUAUAAUAAUAAAUAUAUGUAAUGAUGUACAAUAUACUAUUUUAGUAUUUGUUAUAUGAUUGUAAUAAUACAUAACUAUAAUACUUAUCUUUUUAUAUAUAACUAGAAUUAGAUAAUAAGUAUAAGUAUAGUACUAAAUAUGACACAUAAUUAAUAAUUAGAGUUUAGACAUUGGUUCAUCAUUCAUGUUUUGGAUUAUUAAAUAUUUGAAUGUGUAACUUUUAAUUUGCAAGUAUUAGUAAACUCUAAAAUUACAUUACAUAUAAAAUAUGUAAAUUAAUAUUCUCUAUCACUAAUCUUGUUUAAAUGUAUACGACUAAGCACUAUGAUUUAGUAGUCUAAACGAAUGUAUAUGAAUUGCAUGUCAACAUAUUAGUGUAUUAGCAUUCACCAUUGAAGACAAUCAAGUUAUUUGCAAAUUAAGCAUUUAAGCUAUAUAAAAAAUAAGAAUAAAUGUAAGUGUAAUGCAACGCAUAAUUAAUAAAUUAUAACUGACUAAGUGAGUCCCAUUUUAAUUAUGUAGAAAUUACUAUCCAAUUCAAUUAUAACCGAUUUCAUGACCAUUUUCGAAUUCAAUUCGGUAACCGAAUGAAUUCGGUUAUUCCCAAUUCAAAAUUGAAAGCGGUUUAGAGUUUUACAAGUGAACUAAUUGAAAAAACCGAAUUCAAAUAACAGAAUAACCAAAUUUGUUUCAAAUGCACACCCCUAACCCCUUAUGGUUUCAAAUGCUAUACAUAAUUCCCUUAUAAUUUGGAUCAAAGUGUCAAAGUGACGGAAUUUGUAAUUCAAUGGAGUCAACUAAAAUUUCAAAAAUACCUCUAUGUAAAGUUGAAAAUUAUUUAUUAAUCAUAGGGGGUUAUGUAUAUAUUUUGAAAAUCACAAGGGGGUUAUAUGAUGAAGUAUUAAACCAUAAGAGAGUUAUAUGGUAAAACAUAAAACUAUAUGGGUUAGAGUGUCAUGUAUAUUAUGCUUAUAUAUUUUCGUCACUUCAGCCAUUUUAGUUUUCAAACAAGGGUAAUUUUGAAAUUUUUAUAGGUUUCGUUACGAAUAAUCAUUUCCGUUAUUUUAACACUUUAAUCCAAACUAUGAGAGUGUUAUAUAUAGCUUUUGAAAUGAUAGGGGGAUUAUGUAAAAAGUAGCUAUACCACAGGGGAUAAAGUGUAUUUUGCCCUUCAAAGUAUAAAGAAACACAAAGCAUUAGGGGUGUGCAUUCGGUACAAAUUUGGUUAUUCGGUUAUUUGAAUUUGAUUUUUUGGAUUAUUUCACUUGUAAAACUCUAAAUCGCUUUCAAUUUCGAAUUGGGAAUAAUUCAAUUCAUUCAGUUACCGAAUUGAAUUCGGAAACGGUCAUGAAAUCAAUUAUGACCGAAUUGGAUAGUAAUUUCCAUAUAAUUAAAAUGGGACUCACUUGUGUAGUUGUAUACAAUUAGUCACUUAUAAUUUACUAAUUAUGUGUUGCAUUGCACACACAUUUGUUCUCUUUUUUUUUUUAUAUAGCUUAAAUGCUUAAUUUGCAAAUAACUUGAGCGCCUUCAAUGGUGAAUGCUGAUACACUAAUAUGUUGACAUGUACUUCACAUACAUUCACUUAGACUGCUUAAUCAUAGUGUUUAGUUGUCUACGUUUAAACAAGAUUAGUAAUUUGAGAAUAUUAAUUUACAUAUUAUAUAUGUAAUGAAUUUUAGAGUAAAUGAAUACUUGCAAAUUAAAAGUUACAUAUUCAAAUAUUUAAUAAUCCAAACAUGAAUGAUGAAUCAAUGUCUAAAUUCUAAUUAUUAAUUAUCUGUAAUAUUUAGUACUAUACUUAUACUUAUUAUCUAAUUUUAGUUAUGUAUAAACAGAUAAGUAUUAUAGUUAUGUAUAUUUGUAUUAUUAUAAUCAUAUAACAAAUGCUAAAAUAGUAUAUUGUAUACCAUUAUAUAUAUUUAUUAUUAUAGGUACAUGAUAAUACUAUAUGCUAUCUAUUAUUAAUAACUUUUACCUAUAUAAUAUAUUAAUACUAUAUAGCAUUUGCCUAUAAAUUAUAUAAUUUUAUAAUCUAAUUUGGCAUUCGAAUGCGGUAAUAUGGUACCCUAUUUCAUUUUACCAAAUUUGAAUUCAAAAUCGGUUAUUACCAAAUUGAAAAUCUUAUUACCUAUUUCAUACCACAUUAGAAUUCGGUGAUUUUGGUAAAUACCGGUUUUGUACCUAAUUACCGGAUAGCUGAUUUCAAAUUAACACAUUGAAUUUGAAAUCGAGUACGAAUUCGGUAUGUACCAAAUUUGCUCCCCCUAAUUUUGAUUACCCAGGCAUUCUUAAUUUUUUGUCGAAAAUGUAAGAAAUGAAGAUUGUGCACAAUCUUUUCUGCUUCAUUCUUUC
rnacentral:lncRNA from 1 species